AUCCCAGAUUCUGGGACGAAUUCUAGAUUCAUCCCAGAUUCUGGGACGAAUUCUAGAUUCGUCCCAGAUUCUGGAACGAAUCCAGGAUUCGUCCCAAAAUCU